UACAGAGGUCUCAAGCGUUAAUCGGAAUUACUGGGCGUAAAGCGUGCGCAGGCGGUUUUGUAAGUCUGUCGUGAAAGCUCCGGGCUCAACCUGGGAAUUGCGAUGGAGACUGCAAGGCUUGAAUCUGGCAGAGGGGGGGUAGAAUUCCACGUGUAGCAGUGAAAUGCGUAGAGAUGUGGAGGAACACCGAUGGCGAAGGCAGCCCCCUGGGUCAAGAUUGACGCUCAUGCACGAAAGCGUGGGGAGCAAACAGG
rnacentral:rRNA from 1 species